AGCAGCCGCGGUAAUUCCAGCUCCAAUAGCGUAUAUUAAAGUUGUUGCAGUUAAAAAGCUCGUAGUUGAAUUUCGGGAUCGAUACGUCGGUCGUGCCUUCGGUACGCACUGGCGUUUAUCGAUUUCUCCCUCCUGACGAACCAUGAUGUCAUUAAUUUGGUGUUAUGGGGAAUCAGGACUGUUACUUUGAAAAAAUUAGAGUGUUUAAAGCAGGCAUUAGCUUGAAUACAUUAGCAUGGAAUAAUGAAAUAGGACGUUCGAACCUAUUUUGUUGGUUUCUAGGAUCAACGUAAUGAUUAAUAGGGAUAGUUGGGGGCAUUAGUAUUCAAUUGUCAGAGGUGAAAUUCUUGGAUUUAUUGAAGACUAACUACUGCGAAAGCAUUUGCCAAGGAUGUUUUCAUUAAUCAAGAACGAAAGUUAGGGGAUCGAAGACGAUCAGAUACCGUCGUAGUCUUAACCAUAAACUAUGCCGACUAGGGAUCGGAUGAUGUUAAUUAUUUAAUGACUCAUUCGGCGCCUU
rnacentral:rRNA from 1 species